AACCUGCGGAAGGAUCAUUACCGAGAAAAASGAGUGAAAAGCGAUACUUUGUGAACCGUACCGGACGCACCUUUUAGGGGUCGGUCCCUGCGGCCGUUAAAUGGCAGACGGAGGAGGACGACGACGGCUUCCGCGAGGCGAGGAAGUUGCGCCCCCUCGGUUUYGCGGCCAAGUCUCUUGCCGUCUGCCGGCCCCUUUAGCGUUACCGCAAAGCACGUAUUUGUUGCCGUAUUURCUGAGCUAGUGCCUUUGAAAAGAAAAAGAGAGACAACUUUUGACGGUGGAUCUCUUGGCUCGCGCAUCGAUGAAGAACGCAGCCAGCUGCGAUAAGUAGUGUGAAUUGCAGAAUUCAGUGAAUCAUCGAAUCUUUGAACGCAAAUGGCGCUCUUGGGUUCUCCCAGGAGCAUGUCUGUCUGAGUGUCGGAUUGUACCCAUCGCGGUUGGACCGUUUCCACGGCAGCCGCGGCGUUGAGGCGACACGACGCGKUCCCGGUUGGUCGUGUCUCUCGAAACCGAGCGUAGCCCCGUUGCCGCAGCGGUCGCGUCCGACUCUGUCCGCCAAAAAGGGGAGGCUUAAGGCUGACCUUUCCCUGGACGGAGGAGGUCCGACGUGGCGAGGGACGGAGGCCAACGAGAGAGAAAGAGAAAGAGAGCAAAGGCAGUGAAAAGGCAUCUUGACCUCAGAUCAGGCAA
rnacentral:rRNA from 1 species